UAUCAAACAUUUCAAACUCGUUCUAACAGAUUAUAAAAAUCUAAAAUCUAAAAUCAACUUGACAUCUGUUUUACCCUUAAGGUAAUAUCCGGUCAGAGAUGUCCGGUCAGAGAUGUUAUCUAACGACUUUUUAUUACUUUAUCUUUUAAAGAAAAAAAUCACCUUAAGUCAUAUAAUCUCUGAUUGGUCAAUUGUAUAUCGUGCGUAACCUUUUUGUUUGAAUUCAUUUUAAUAGAAAAAUUUGGAUAGAUACAAUGUAGCACAGGUAAGUUUACUUUUGAUAUUAGUUUUAAAAAGUUUGAAUAAGCAAAUUAAUAAUUAUUGUUAAAUGUUCGAUUAAUCUUUAUGCAAAAAAAUACAAAAAUAAUAUGUUAAAGUAACAUCUUUAUGCAAAAAAAUACAAAAAUAAUAUGUUAAAGUAACAUAAGGUAAAUAUUAUAGCUUUAUAAGUUUUUCAAUAAAUAUUAAAUUUCCUUUAUUUCAUCAUAAAAAAAUAAAAAAAGUUAAUUUCUAGAGAUCAAGAAAACAUAAAAAACAAACAAAUAAGUUAACAAUAUUCAAAGAACAAAUUAUUUUAAGAAUAUUAAUUAGAAAAACUUUAAGGUAUAAAAUUUUAACAGAAUUAUAUGUAUGAUAAGAGUAGAAAAGAUAUUUAUAUACGAAAAAGUUAAAAAAAAUAUUAUAAACAAUUGAUAAUUGAUAAAAUGUCCAGGUGUUUCAUUUCCUGUAAAACGUGUAUUGUGCAUGCGCAUUGAACACUUCCUGUGACACGUAUAUUUUUUGUAACAGGUACUUGCUGACAUCAGUAUGGCUUGGUCUUCGUGACGUGUCGGGAAUUUCAAAUCGUUGAUAUAUGAACAACAAGACAACUGUCAUAAAAUGCAUAGGAUAAGAAUUCCAAUGAAAGAUGUUCUCUAGUGUACUUCGUUGUGUCCCGCU